AUGGCGGAACGAAAAGGGUGCCACGACAACAUAUCGGUUCUGGUAACUCAAUUGAGAUACCGAUUCAAAAGAGAAGUGUGCAGAUGUGUGGAACACGCAAGAGAUGGAGGAAGACUCGCAGUGGUGGUGCGCUCUGCAACUGGAGGAGCAGAGGAUGUCAACGGAUGGGCAUUGGCACACACGCACGCGGAGGGCAAGGUGAGCAGGUGGCGUCCAUGGCUCCAUGCCCCGGAGAAGCAGCGGGGACCAAUGCGGGAGACAGGAAUGAGGCCACAGGGAGGCGACGAGGAGGUCGCCGGCGCGGGCAUCUGGCGAGAUGGCUCGGCGGUGGCCUGA
rnacentral:rRNA from 1 species